UCGCUCCGCGUACUCGACUCGUUCCAAGGAAUUCGGUAAUUCUCUCGAGAGUCUCUAUUGACCUCAAUCGACCGGUGUCCUCUCUCCGUUCGAUUGAGAAUCGCAGCAACUUCCCGCGAGAGUCGACGGAGAUGCUGACGGAGAUGCCGCGAAUGUCCACGAGAUACACCAGCAGCCAUGAAGUUCUUGAUUCUGUUUGUGAUUGUGACUCUGUGUUGCGUUCAAUUCAUUGAGUCGCGCGGUGGACGCGGAGGUCGCCGGGGCGGAAGAGGUGGUGCUUUCGGUCUCGGUGGUAACCGGCCCAGAGUCCGAAUCCCGAAGGAAAGCUAUAGACACGGAUUAACUGCUCUGUACCUCGUCCGGCGGAAAAUUAGGAACUCGAAGGGAGAGCUCACCAGCAAGGAAGAAGAGUUCAUCGUCGAGAAGCCGGUCAGAAAAAUAUUCUACACGAGAUGAUGAUGAUAAUAAACGUCAGCUCGACGAUCAGAUCUACCAGCUGAUCAUGAAA